UACGUAGGGGGCGAGCGUUGUCCGGAAUUAUUGGGCGUAAAGAGCGUGUAGGCGGCUUGGUAAGUCUGUCGUGAAAUGCUGGGGCUCAACCCUGGACGUGCGAUGGAUACUGCUUGGCUAGAGGAUGGUAGAGGCGAGUGGAACUCCCGGUGUAGCGCUGAAAUGCGCAGAUAUCGGGAGGAACACCAGUAGCGAAGGCGGCUCGCUGGGCCAUUCCUGACGCUGAGAUACGAAAGCUAGGGGAGCAAACAGG
rnacentral:rRNA from 1 species